rnacentral:rRNA from 1 species
GUGUCAGCCGCCGCGGUAAUACGUAGGGGGCAAGCGUUGUCCGGAAUCAUUGGGCGUAAAGAGCGUGUAGGCGGCCCUGUAAGUCCGUUGUGAAAGUCGAGGGCUCAACCCUCGAAUGCCGGCGGAUACUGCAGGGCUAGAAUCCGGAAGAGGCGAGUGGAAUUCCUGGUGUAGCGGUGAAAUGCGCAGAUAUCAGGAGGAACACCAAUGGCGAAGGCAGCUCGCUGGGACGGUAUUGACGCUGAGACGCGAAAGCGUGGGGAGCAAACAGGAUUAGAUACCCUCGUAGUCC